GGUCCCAUAGCUCAGUUGGUUAGAGCGUCGUACUAAUAUUAUGAGUCAAUCAUUACAUUGAGUAAAUGCGAAGGCCGUGAGUUCAAGCCUCACUGGGACCA